rnacentral:rRNA from 1 species
GCUAGCUACAGGCUUAACACAUGCAAGUCGAGGGUUAGCAUGGUCUUAGCUUGCUAAGGCCGAUGGCGACCGGCGCACGGGUGAGUAACACGUAUCCAACCUGCCGUCUACUCUUGGACAGCCUUCUGAAAGGAAGAUUAAUACAAGAUGGCAUCAUGAGUCCACAUGUUCACAUGAUUAAAGGUAUUCCGGUAGACGAUGGGGAUGCGUUCCAUUAGAUAGUAGGCGGGGUAACGGCCCACCUAGUCUUCGAUGGAUAGGGGUUCUGAGAGGAAGGUCCCCCACAUUGGAACUGAGACACGGUCCAAACUCCUACGGGAGGCAGCAGUGAGGAAUAUUGGUCAAUGGGCGAGAGCCUGAACCAGCCAAGUAGCGUGAAGGAUGACUGCCCUAUGGGUUGUAAACUUCUUUUAUAAAGGAAUAAAGUCGGGUAUGCAUACCCGUUUGCAUGUACUUUAUGAAUAAGGAUCGGCUAACUCCGUGCCAGCAGCCGCGGUAAUACGGAGGAUCCGAGCGUUAUCCGGAUUUAUUGGGUUUAAAGGGAGCGUAGAUGGAUGUUUAAGUCAGUUGUGAAAGUUUGCGGCUCAACCGUAAAAUUGCAGUUGAUACUGGAUAUCUUGAGUGCAGUUGAGGCAGGCGGAAUUCGUGGUGUAGCGGUGAAAUGCUUAGAUAUCACGAAGAACUCCGAUUGCGAAGGCAGCCUGCUAAGCUGCAACUGACAUUGAGGCUCGAAAGUGUGGGUAUCAAACAGGAUUAGAUACCCUGGUAGUCCACACGGUAAACGAUGAAUACUCGCUGUUUGCGAUAUACAGCAAGCGGCCAAGCGAAAGCGUUAAGUAUUCCACCUGGGGAGUACGCCGGCAACGGUGAAACUCAAAGGAAUUGACGGGGGCCCGCACAAGCGGAGGAACAUGUGGUUUAAUUCGAUGAUACGCGAGGAACCUUACCCGGGCUUAAAUUGCAGAUGAAUUACGGUGAAAGCCGUAAGCCGCAAGGCAUCUGUGAAGGUGCUGCAUGGUUGUCGUCAGCUCGUGCCGUGAGGUGUCGGCUUAAGUGCCAUAACGAGCGCAACCCUUGUUGUCAGUUACUAACAGGUCAUGCUGAGGACUCUGACAAGACUGCCAUCGUAAGAUGUGAGGAAGGUGGGGAUGACGUCAAAUCAGCACGGCCCUUACGUCCGGGGCUACACACGUGUUACAAUGGGGGGUACAGAGGGCCGCUACCACGCGAGUGGAUGCCAAUCCCAAAAACCUCUCUCAGUUCGGACUGGAGUCUGCAACCCGACUCCACGAAGCUGGAUUCGCUAGUAAUCGCGCAUCAGCCACGGCGCGGUGAAUACGUUCCCGGGCCUUGUACACACCGCCCGUCAAGCCAUGGGAGCCGGGGGUACCUGAAGUGCGUAACCGCGAGGAGCGCCCUAGGGUAAAACUGGU